rnacentral:rRNA from 1 species
AUUGAACGCUGGCGGCAUGCCUUACACAUGCAAGUCGAACGGCAGCACGGGAGCAAUCCUGGUGGCGAGUGGCGAACGGGUGAGUAAUAUAUCGGAACGUGCCCAGUCGUGGGGGAUAACGCAGCGAAAGCUGUGCUAAUACCGCAUACGAUCUACGGAUGAAAGCGGGGGAUCGCAAGACCUCGCGCGAUUGGAGCGGCCGAUAUCAGAUUAGCUAGUUGGUGGGGUAAAGGCCUACCAAGGCGACGAUCUGUAGCUGGUCUGAGAGGACGAACAGCCACACUGGAACUGAGACACGGUCCAGACUCCUACGGGAGGCAGCAGUGGGGAAUUUUGGACAAUGGGCGCAAGCCUGAUCCAGCAAUGCCGCGUGCAGGAUGAAGGCCUUCGGGUUGUAAACUGCUUUUGUACGGAACGAAACGGUGAGCUCUAAUACAGUUUGCUAAUGACGGUACCGUAAGAAUAAGCACCGGCUAACUACGUGCCAGCCGCCGCUGUAAUAC